rnacentral:misc_RNA from 1 species
UGAUAGAUGAUUUGUUUUUGACUCAGCUUAUAUUUAUAUUGUCUAUGGGAUAGCGCUUGAUAUACAUAUAUAUGUAUGACCUACAUUUUUAUUUCUUUUGGUUUAUUUGUGUCAUUAUAAUGCCCAAAAUGCCAAUAUUGCUCUUAGGUUGCCAGAGUUUAUUUUAUACUUCCAAGAUGUCAAUACUAUCCAUAGGAAGUGUAUUGUGAGCGUAUGAGGAUCUUAUUGAUUUUGUUACAUUUUAGGAAGUUUUAAUUCAACAAUUUUUUGAAAACAUGAAUUUAUUUAGCUUAGUUAUGUGAUUUGAAUAAAUGAUAUUUAUUUAGCUGACUUAUUCUAGCACAGCAGAUUAAUACUAUUAAGUACCAAAAUUUUAUCUGUUCUUUAUUUAUUAUUUAUUUAUCUGUUUAUUUGAGUAAUUGUAUUCACCCUUCC